rnacentral:lncRNA from 1 species
GCCCUGCCCACAUCAUGAUGUUUCUCUUUUCCAUGGGUCAGUUUGCUCACGUCAUAUUCUUCAUCAUACAGGAAGACGCAUGGAGAAUGCCGCCUUACGAGCAUGUGUUUUUUGCAUUGGCGGAUUUUCAUGUUAGUGCCGUCAUAGUAAGUACUUCUUUUCACAGUUAUGAUCGGCUUUGCUACAUCAGGGUCCUCCUCCUCACUACAGAAAGUUCUCUUCCCCUUCCCAGGCACCUGAGGUUGAACCCUUGGAAAGAAAAACAAGCAGAUCUAAAUAAUCUCACCCAAUUGAGAGGAAAAGAGAAAUAUCAUCUUGGAAAAGCUGAGGUAACAGAGUAUGGGUUAUCAAUAAUUGGUUCUUUGGGGCCUUGUAGGACAUAGUUCAAUCUUAACCAUGAGACAUUGGCUAAAAUCCUUUUAAUAAUAAUGUUUUGUUUGUUAUUUCAUGUCAUUUCUGGUUAUCUGUCAUGGAGUGUUAAUUUUUUGGUUAAUUUUUUGGUCUUUAACAAGAAUAAACAUUUCUUAAUUUUUGCGUGUUGGUAGUAC